rnacentral:rRNA from 1 species
AUGAACGCUAGCUACAGGCUUAACACAUGCAAGUCGAGGGGCAGCAUGGUCUUAGCUUGCUAAGGCCGAUGGCGACCGGCGCACGGGUGAGUAACACGUAUCCAACCUGCCGUCUACUCUUGGACAGCCUUCUGAAAGGAAGAUUAAUACAAGAUGGCAUCAUGAGUCCGCAUGUUCACAUGAUUAAAGGUAUUCCGGUAGACGAUGGGGAUGCGUUCCAUUAGAUAGUAGGCGGGGUAACGGCCCACCUAGUCUUCGAUGGAUAGGGGUUCUGAGAGGAAGGUCCCCCACAUUGGAACUGAGACACGGUCCAAACUCCUACGGGAGGCAGCAGUGAGGAAUAUUGGUCAAUGGGCGAGAGCCUGAACCAGCCAAGUAGCGUGAAGGAUGACUGCCCUAUGGGUUGUAAACUUCUUUUAUAAAGGAAUAAAGUCGGGUAUGGAUACCCGUUUGCAUGUACUUUAUGAAUAAGGAUCGGCUAACUCCGUGCCAGCAGCCGCGGUAAUACGGAGGAUCCGAGCGUUAUCCGGAUUUAUUGGGUUUAAAGGGAGCGUAGAUGGAUGUUUAAGUCAGUUGUGAAAGUUUGCGGCUCAACCGUAAAAUUGCAGUUGAUACUGGAUAUCUUGAGUGCAGUUGAGGCAGGCGGAAUUCGUGGUGUAGCGGUGAAAUGCUUAGAUAUCACGAAGAACUCCGAUUGCGAAGGCAGCCUGCUAAGCUGCAACUGACAUUGAGGCUCGAAAGUGUGGGUAUCAAACAGGAUUAGAUACCCUGGUAGUCCACGCCGUAAACGAUGAAUACUAGGUGUUGGGAAGCAUUGCUUCUCGGUGCCGUCGCAAACGCAGUAAGUAUUCCACCUGGGGAGUACGCCGGCAACGGUGAAACUCAAAGGAAUUGACGGGGGCCCGCACAAGCGGAGGAACAUGUGGUUUAAUUCGAUGAUACGCGAGGAACCUUACCCGGGCUUAAAUUGCAGAUGAAUUACGGUGAAAGCCGUAAGCCGCAAGGCAUCUGUGAAGGUGCUGCAUGGUUGUCGUCAGCUCGUGCCGUGAGGUGUCGGCUUAAGUGCCAUAACGAGCGCAACCCUUGUUGUCAGUUACUAACAGGUUCCGCUGAGGACUCUGACAAGACUGCCAUCGUAAGAUGUGAGGAAGGUGGGGAUGACGUCAAAUCAGCACGGCCCUUACGUCCGGGGCUACACACGUGUUACAAUGGGGGGUACAGAGGGCCGCUACCACGCGAGUGGAUGCCAAUCCCAAAAACCUCUCUCAGUUCGGACUGGAGUCUGCAACCCGACUCCACGAAGCUGGAUUCGCUAGUAAUCGCGCAUCAGCCACGGCGCGGUGAAUACGUUCCCGGGCCUUGUACACACCGCCCGUCAAGCCAUGGGAGCCGGGGGUACCUGAAGUGCAUAACCGCGAGGAGCGCCCUAGGGUAAAACUGGUGACUGGGGCU